rnacentral:rRNA from 1 species
GAGUUUGAUCCUGGCUCAGAUUGAACGCUGGCGGCAGGCCUAACACAUGCAAGUCGAGCGGCAGCAGCUCCUUCGGGAGGCUGGCGAGCGGCGGACGGGUGAGUAAUGCAUGGGAACUUACCCAGUAGUGGGGGAUAGCCCGGGGAAACCCGGAUUAAUACCGCAUACGCCCUGAGGGGGAAAGCGGGCUCCGGCUCGCGCUAUUGGAUGGGCCCAUGUCGGAUUAGUUAGUUGGUGGGGUAAUGGCCUACCAAGGCGACGAUCCGUAGCUGGUCUGAGAGGAUGAUCAGCCACACCGGGACUGAGACACGGCCCGGACUCCUACGGGAGGCAGCAGUGGGGAAUAUUGGACAAUGGGGGCAACCCUGAUCCAGCCAUGCCGCGUGUGUGAAGAAGGCCUUAGGGUUGUAAAGCACUUUCAGCAGGGAGGAAAAGCUGAUCGUUAAUACCGGUCAGUGUGACGUUACCUGC